AUUGAACGCUGGCGGCAGGCCUAACACAUGCAAGUCGAACGAGUGGCGGACGGGUGAGUAAUGUCUGGGAAACUGCCUGUUGGCGGGGGAUAACUACUGGAAACGGUAGCUAAUACCGCAUACCAUCAGAUCUGCCCAGAUGGGAUUAGCUUGUUGGUGGGGUAACGGCUCACCAAGGCCACGAUCCUUAGCUGGUCAGAGAGGAUGACCAGCCACACUGGGACUGAGACACGGUCCAGACGCCUACGGGAGGCAGCAGUGGGGAAUAUUGCACAAUGGGCGCAAGCCUGAUGCAGCCAUGCCGCGUGUAUGAAGAAGGCCUUCGGGUUGUAAAGUACUUUCAGCGGAGAAGCGUUACCCGCAGAAGAAGCACCGGCUAACUCCGUGCCAGCAGCCGCGGUAAUAC
rnacentral:rRNA from 1 species